CCAUUGCACUCCAGCCUGGGUAACAAGAGCGAAACUCCGUCUCAAAAAAAAAAGAAAAGUGGGUUUAUAGCAGGCCUAAGCCCAGCAUUCUGUCCUGUUACUCCUCUCUUUGUUACAGAGUAACACAAAGACAAAUUUUUAACACAAAGGGUACCAGAUUUGCUACUGCCUAAGGAUCAGCCUCACUAAUCCUUUUUUUCUGUUAAUCAGACCUUUCCAGAGGAGACAGUGAUAUUUACCAUUUGUAUACACACACACACACACACACACACACACACACACACACACACACGAGUGAGAGAGACCAGAAGCUUGACUAGUAAGAAUUUUAUAAUUUGUGUACACACACACACACACACACACACACACACGAGUGAGAGAGACCAGAAGCUUGACUAGUAAGAAUUUUAUGCCCUUUUUGCCAACAUACCAGGAUACCUGGUUCCCUUUCUCUGCAGCUUCCAGCACAGAGUGGCUUUGAUGACCUUGCUCACUGCAUCAUAGCUUUGGGGGCCAAGCCCUGUUACAAAAGAAAAUCAUCCUUGUCUGCUUUAAGGAACAAUAGGCAAAAGCUUCUCAAUUUUGCAAGAUGCUGCCCAUUGGGCAGCAUGGGGAGCCGAAUUAAUAUUUUCCAUCCCAGCCGAAGCAAAGUACACAUUAAAAAAUAGACACUAGUAACCUUGCUCAAACACCCAGUAUCAACCUGGCAAGGCUCAAACUUUCUCCUGUAGGUCCCUGUUGUCUUUGAUUCACUCCAGGUGAGGAGGAAUGACCUCCAAACCAUAAUUUGAUGGGUGGUCUCUGAGCAAGACUAAGAGCAAGUCACCCUGAGUCAAGCCUGUUAAGCUUUCUUCAGGGCCCUCCAAAUAUGACAAGACAAAUAAAGGUUCUCCAAGAUAGGCCUGCUGUACUUCUGUCAGCAAUGUCUUCAGAGAUCCCUUCCACAUGCAGAAACAAACACAAAGACAAGACAGACAUAAGGGCUUCCAAAUCAAGAUCCCUAACCAAGAAUUCCAGAAUACCCCUUCCACCCUAUUCUCCUAUUUUUUGCCUGAGAAAUCUCCCCUAAAUCUUCUGGAUUGAGGAGAAGUCGCCCUAAUCAAGACUCUUCCUACUAAUUAAGGAGAGCCAACUGAAACCCCCCCAAAAGGAGCCAAACUGAGACACUCCAUGGUGGAGCUGCAGACACUUACCACACUGUGGGGUCUACAGAACCAUUUGGGAGACGGAAGGAGGCUUUGGCAGUGCCUAGGAUACUCACUGAACCAGAUAGCCCAUAAUGGGGCUACAGACAGACACCCUGUGAUAAGGCUGCCGUUAUGGGAUGUCUCCCCAGGACUGUUUCUCCAUUGCAAUUAAAUUCAUGUGCAUUGGGUCAGCAGUGCCCUGCCAGUAGAGAUGGUGUCAGAGUCAGCCCCUAGUCCAAGAGAACUAGGUAGCAACUUGGGCUGGCCUCUGGAUCCAUUGCCAGAGCGGUGCUACCAAAUCGCAGGCAGGUACCCACAAGAGCAAUCCCAGACAAGCCUCCAAAUUUGUAACUGCUCAACGGGUUCACCUUGCCCUCUGUCUAGACAGAGCCAGUUUAUCAAGACAAGGGAAUUGCUGUGGAGAAAGUAAUUCACAACACAGCUGGCUGUGUGGGAGACUGGAGUUUUAUUAUUAUUCAAAUCCCUCUCCCAGAGCAGUCAGGGAUCAGUUUUUAAAGCUAAUUUGGUGAGUAGGAGCUUGGGAAGUGGGGAAUGCUGAUUGGUCAGGUUGAAAAUGUAAUCGUGGGGGUUGAAAUGAGGUUUUCUUGCUAUCUUCUGUUCCUGGGUGGGAUGGCAGAGCUGGUUGAGCCAGAUUAUGGGUCUGGGUGGUGUCAGCUGAUCCAUUGAGUGCAUGGUCUGCAAAAUAUCUCAAGCACUGAUACUAGGUUUUACAGUAGUGAUGCUGUCUCCAGGAGCAAUUUGGGGAGGUUCAGCCUCUUGGAGCCAGAAGCUGCAUGACCCUUAAACCAUCAUUUCUAAUCUUGUAGCUAAUUUGUUGGUCCUGCAGAGGCAGACUGGUCCCCAGGCAAGAAGGGAGUCUUUUUGAGAAAGAGCUAUUAUCAGUUUUGUUUCAGAGUCAAACCGUAAACUAAAUUCCUUCCCAAAGUUAGUUCGGCCUAUUCCCAGGAAUGAAUAAGGACAGCUCAAAGGUUAGAAGCAAGAUGGAUCAGUUGGGUCUGAUUUCUUUUACUGUCGUAAUUUCCUCAGUUAUAAUUUUUGCAAGGGUGGUUUCACCAAUCUACGAAGUGAAUUCCUUUGGCAGGUUCUAUAUUUCUGAUCUAGGGAAAAGUUACCCAGGUUGUUUUGUCAUUAUGACUGAUGGGCUAUAAAGUUUUUCACGACUCACUGCACGAGUUUUAUUAAUUAGCUAGAGCAACUCAAAGAACCCGGGGAAGACAUUUACUGGUCAAUUAUAAAGGCUGUUAUAAAGGCUACAGAUGAAGCAAUGCAUAAGGCAAGGUAUGAGGGAAAGGGCUUAGAGCUUCCAUACUCUCUCCAGGCACAACACCCUGCAGGAUAGCUACUAGCUCUCCUGAAACUCUCCAAAGCCGGGAUUUUUAAUGGAAGCCUCAUUACAUAGGCAUGAUUGAUUAAAUCAUUGGCACUGAUGGUCAAACUAACCUUCAGCCCCUGUCCCCUCCUGGGAGAUUUGAAGUAGGGCAGAAACCUUAACCCUCUCAUUCUAUUUUGAUCUCUUUGCUGACCAGCCCCAUUCUGAAGCUACCUAUGGAUGCCAGUCCUAGUUCAACUCAUUAGCGUGUAAAAAGAGAUUAUCACUUUGAAAUUCUAAGAAUUUUAAAAGUUGUAUUCCAGGAAAUAUAUAUUUCACAGUAUCACCGUCUUACAAGGUAAUGAAACCAUGCUCUUUGGAUUGUCUUUUAUGCCAGACAGAAAUCAUCUGUAUCUAUACUGGACAAAAAUCUACAAGUUAUAAGGUAAUUUCACAGAUUCUGGACAUUAUUUAAUAUAAAUGUCAAAAAAUACAUUCUCCUCUGACAUACAUUGGUGUACUUUUUCUGUAAAGAGCCAAAUGAUAAAUAUUUUAGACUUUGUGGACCACAAAGUCUCUGUUUUAUUUAUUUUUUGUUUCAGUUUUUACGGCCCUUUAAAAACGUAAAAAGUAUUUUUAUCUCAGGGGUUUUAUAUACAGAAGAGUCCAAGGGCUGGAUUUGCACAAACCAGUAUGAUAGCCACUACCGCAUGUUGCUGUCUGCAUUACUUUGGUGAAAUUAAAUAUUCAGAUCCUUGGUUGCAUUUCAAGUGCUAAUGGUCACAUGUAACUAGUGGCCACCAAUUUGAAUAGUACAGCUAUAGGACAUUUCCAUCACUGAAGAGGUUCUUUUGGACAGUGCUACCCUAAAGUAUUAAAUAAUCCUUGAUUGGCUCUGCUAGACAAUAGUAUGACAUUGAGGCUGGACGCAGUGACUCACGCUGUAAUCCCAGCACUUUGGGAGGUCAAGGCAGGUGCAUCACCUGAGGUCAGGAGUUCGAGACCAGCCUGGCCAACAUGGUGAAACUCUGUCUCUACUAAAAAU